rnacentral:ncRNA from 2 species
AUGAAGUCCUGAUGUCGUGGUUCCCUGGAGCGGUUCUGCCUCUCCAGGGCUAAGAGGGAAUCCGGUGCGCCGAUCAUUCGGCAAUGCCGGGGCUGCCCCCGCAACUGUAAGCGGUGAGCCGCUGUCCAGGAUGUCACUGAGGCGCCUGCCUUGGGAAGACGGACAGCAGUGACGACCCGUGAGCCAGGAGACCUGCCAAGACGAAACAACGUCC